AACGAACGCUGGCGGCAGGCCUAACACAUGCAAGUCGAGCGCCCCGCAAGGGGAGCGGCGGACGGGUGAGUAACGCGUGGGAACGUGCCUCUUGCUACGGAAUAGCCUCGGGAAACUGGGAGUAAUACCGUAUGUGCCCUACGGGGGAAAGAUUUAUCGGCAAGAGAUCGGCCCGCGUUGGAUUAGGUAGUUGGUGGGGUAAUGGCCUACCAAGCCGACGAUCCAUAGCUGGUUUGAGAGGAUGAUCAGCCACACUGGGACUGAGACACGGCCCAGACUCCUACGGGAGGCAGCAGUGGGGAAUCUUAGACAAUGGGCGCAAGCCUGAUCUAGCCAUGCCGCGUGAUCGAUGAAGGCCUUAGGGUUGUAAAGAUCUUUCGUGGGGGAAGAUAAUGACUGUACCCCAAGAAGAAGCCCCGGCUAACUCCGUGCCAGCAGCCGCGGUAA
rnacentral:rRNA from 1 species